rnacentral:tRNA from 1 species
AAGAAAGUGGCAGAGUGGCCAUGUGGUUGAUUUGAAAUCAGUUUAUGGGGGUUCAAUUCCUCCCUUUCUCG